UGUGUCCGAGCAGACUUUAGUGCCACACACUCUGUCUCUGUCAGGCUCUCUCGCUGCACAGCUCUCUCUUUUUGUGUUCUUUGACCCUUUUUUUUUGGUGUUCAGAGACGGCUGAGGGAGGAAGACAGCUUCAACUAGACAAAACAACUGAAAGAAGAAAGAAAAUGAAGAGAAGGAAAAUGAACUGACUUUGCCUCAGAAACAGUGGAUCUGGAGGGACUAACUUCAAAAGAAAGGCAAGAGGGAGCUGGUGUGAAAUAUGAGCAGGAAGGAGAGAUGAGAAACAUGAGGUCUUCUGUUAAGGAACCAGAGACAGUAUCCACAGAAGCCAUGAGCGGAAGAGAGCAGCCUCACAAGAUCAUUAGCACCACUUCUGGACUAUGUUGUACUCUAGAGGCUGUGGACUGAGGAGAGACUGAGAGAGAGACGAGUGGAGGCCGGCUGCAACAAGGGACAAGGGCUGCUGCCUCCUCAUUCCGAACCAGACGUGGGUGAGUUGAUUGACGCCGUUUUCCUGCCGCUCUCUUGUUUAUUUCUCAAUCUAUAUUUCCUAAYCUAUGGCUGUAGAUUGAGACUGCCUGCCUCCCUUACACCUCCCUGUCUCAAACUGGUCGUGGUAGGUUCAGUGAGGAUUCAUAUUCAGCCAUCCUCGUGUGCAUAUCCAGAUCAUCGCUCUGCCCUCCUAAUAUUGAAAUGAGUCACGUGAAUGUUUCAAGAUAAACUGACUUUGUGUUCUUUUCCUUGGUUAUUCUUUAUAGUCGUUUUGAAUCGUUGGUUGGUGUGCUGCUGGCUGCUGAACCAGGAUUAUGUCUGGCCAUCCCUUAAUAACUAGCAGCUGCAGCCUGGGAAUAGAGUGCAUGGGAGCUUAAGGAACCGAAGGUUAGCGUUGGGUUUACCUGGAGCCAGGAGCAUUUUUCAAA